GAUGAACGCUAGCUACAGGCUUAACACAUGCAAGUCGAGGGGCAGCAUUUUAGUUUGCUUGCAAACUAAAGAUGGCGACCGGCGCACGGGUGAGUAACACGUAUCCAACCUGCCGAUAACUCGGGGAUAGCCUUUCGAAAGAAAGAUUAAUAUCCGAUAGUAUAUUAAAACCGCAUGGUUUUACUAUUAAAGAAUUUCGGUUAUCGAUGGGGAUGCGUUCCAUUAGUUUGUUGGCGGGGUAACGGCCCACCAAGACUACGAUGGAUAGGGGUUCUGAGAGGAAGGUCCCCCACAUUGGAACUGAGACACGGUCCAAACUCCUACGGGAGGCAGCAGUGAGGAAUAUUGGUCAAUGGACGAGAGUCUGAACCAGCCAAGUAGCGUGAAGGAUGACUGCCCUAUGGGUUGUAAACUUCUUUUAUAUGGGAAUAAAGUAUUCCACGUGUGGAAUUUUGUAUGUACCAUA
rnacentral:rRNA from 1 species